rnacentral:lncRNA from 1 species
CAGGAUAGCUAAGGCACAAACAAAUAAAUAUGGUCACAGUCAGAUGAACCCUGUCAGACUGACCAAAUAUAGUUGACCCAUUACAAAUACCAUCUGAGAAACCUGCCUAAUUAGAAACCAUAAUUGUUAAUCAUAUUUCCAUGAAAUGAGGUCAAGGUCAUAUAAACCCUUUCUAAUUGCCAGGUAGAUUUUUAAAUGAUUUUAUAUACCAAUAGUAAGUCAAAUUGCUCAUAACCCAAAAGUAAAGUGAUACAGUUUUAUGCUGUCAUUCGAUGAGAAUCCUUUUGUCUCUAAUUCUUUGCAGGAAAGAUGGAAGAAUUCUGUCAAGUUAAAAAUUGUCUGAUAGAACUUCUAGCAUAUAAUUCUUAAUAUCUGGGUACAAUUAGAUAAAACAAAUAUGGUAAUUUUUCUCUUUCUGUGUGACAUCCUUGAUUUUAUCAAGAUAAUCAUUAUUGUUAUAUAACCUUAUAUUGAAGAUAAUUCUGGAAAGACUAUAUUUAAAUUGA